UUGACCAGCUCAUCGAAGGACACCAGUGGCUGGAGAGAAAUCUUGGUGCAACCCCCCGCUCUGGCUGGGCAGUGGACCCCUUUGGAUACAGCUCCACCAUGCCUUACCUGCUGCGCCGUGCCAACCUCACCAGCAUGCUGAUUCAGAGAGUGCACUAUGCCAUCAAGAAGCACUUUGCUGCCACCCACAGCCUAGAGUUCAUGUGGAGGCAGACAUGGGACUCGGACUCCAGCACAGACAUCUUCUGUCACAUGAUGCCCUUCUACAGCUAUGACGUCCCCCAUACCUGUGGCCCAGAUCCCAAGAUCUGCUGCCAGUUUGAUUUCAAACGCCUGCCUGGUGGGCGCAUCAACUGCCCUUGGAAGGUGCCACCCCGGGCCAUCACAGAGGCCAAUGUGGCAGAGAGGUAUCUGUUUCCAGCCCUUUCACU
rnacentral:sRNA from 1 species